rnacentral:rRNA from 1 species
AGCGAACGCUGGCGGCAGGCCUAACACAUGCAAGUCGAGCGCCGUAGCAAUACGGAGCGGCAGACGGGUGAGUAACGCGUGGGAAUCUACCUCGUGGUACGGAAUAGCCCAGGGAAACUUGGAGUAAUACCGUAUACGCCCGCAAGGGGAAAGAUUUAUCGUCAUGAGAUGAGCCCGCGUUGGAUUAGCUAGUUGGUGGGGUAAUGGCCCACCAAGGCGACGAUCCAUAGCUGGUCUGAGAGGAUGAUCAGCCACACUGGGACUGAGACACGGCCCAGACUCCUACGGGAGGCAGCAGUGGGGAAUAUUGGACAAUGGGCGCAAGCCUGAUCCAGCCAUGCCGCGUGAGUGACGAAGGUCUUCGGAUUGUAAAGCUCUUUUGGCGGGGACGAUAAUGACGGUACCCGCAGAAUAAGCCCCGGCUAACUUCGUGCCAGCCGCCGCGGUAACAC